rnacentral:rRNA from 1 species
UGGGGAAUCUUGGACAAUGGGCGCAAGCCUGAUCCAGCCAUGCCACGUGAGUGAAGAAGGCCUUCGGGUUGUAAAGCUCUUUUACCAGGGACGAUAAUGACGGUACCUGGAGAAUAAGCCCCGGCAAACUUCGUGCCAGCAGCCGCGGUAAUACGAAGGGGGCUAGCGUUGUUCGGAAUUACUGGGCGUAAAGCGCACGUAGGCGGAUUGUUAAGUCAGAGGUGAAAUCCCGGAGCUCAACUUCGGAACUGCCUUUGAUACUGGCAAUCUAGAGUCCGGAAGAGGUUAGUGGAAUUCCCAGUGUAGAGGUGAAAUUCGUAGAUAUUGGGAAGAACACCAGUGGCGAAGGCGGCUAACUGGUCCGGUACUGACGCUGAGGUGCGAAAGCGUGGGGAGCAAACAGGAUUAGAUACCCCCGUAGUCCCUGAGCGGGCUGGCAAGGCGCAU